UACGUAGGACCCAAGCGUUAUCCGGAAUCACUGGGCGUAAAGAGUUGCGUAGGUGGCAUAGUAAGCAAAUAGUGAAAUGAUACGGCUCAACCGUAUGUCCAUUAUUUGAACUGCUAAGCUUGAGCAUGAGAGAGGUAGAUGGAAUUUCUAGUGUAGGAGUGAAAUCCGUAGAUAUUAGAAGGAACACCGAUGGCGUAGGCAGUCUACUGGCUCAUUGCUGACACUAAGGCACGAAAGCGUGGGGAGCGAACGGG
rnacentral:rRNA from 1 species